rnacentral:rRNA from 1 species
GACAGAGGGUGCGAACGUUGUUCGGAAUUACUGGGCGUAAAGCGCGUGUAGGCGGCAACGCAAGUCGGGCGUGAAAUCCCACGGCUCAACCGUGGAAGUGCACUCGAAACUGCGUAGCUAGAGUCCUUGAGAGGAAGGUGGAAUGCUUGGUGUAGAGGUGAAAUUCGUAGAUAUCAAGCGGAACACCGGUGGCGAAGGCGGCCUUCUGGACAGUGACUGACGCUGAGACGCGAAAGCGUGGGGAGCAAACAGG